rnacentral:rRNA from 1 species
GUCGGAUGUGAAAUCUCGGGGCUUAACUCCGAAACUGCAUUCGAUACUACCGUGCUUGAGGACUGGAGAGGAGACUGGAAUUUACGGUGUAGCGGUGAAAUGCGUAGAUAUCGUAAGGAAGACCAGUGGCGAAGGCGAGUCUCUGGACAUUUCCUGACGCUGAGGCACGAAAGCCAGGGGAGCAAACGGG